UACGGGGGGAGCAAGCGUUGUUCGGAUUUACUGGGCGUAAAGGGCGCGUAGGCGGCGCAACAAGUCACUUGUGAAAUCUCCUGGCUCAACCAGGAGCGGCCAAGUGAUACUGUCGUGCUAGAGUGCGGAAGGGGCUACUGGAAUUCUCGGUGUAGCGGUGAAAUGCGUAGAUAUCGAGAGGAACACCUGCGGCGAAGGCGGGUAGCUGGGCCGACACUGACGCUGAGGCGCGAAAGCCAGGGGAGCAAACAGG
rnacentral:rRNA from 1 species